AUAUUGUAUUGGAUUCCACUUGUCAUUAUUUUUCAUUUUGGGUUUAUGCAUAGCGGGUGAAACGGCGCCAUCUCUUGGUGGUUAGCCGCGAUAAGGGUAGUGGACACAGGAACCUCGUUGCCAGUGUAUGGGAGAAGAGCACGAGGUGCUGUACCCGAUGAUGAGCCCAUGAUUCUGACCAGUACAUGUUCCGUUUCAUGCAGGCAGAUAAAGUCAGCAUUCAUCUCAUCCUGUCUCCUGAUUGUCAUUGAACACAA